UAAUAUCAUAGGUGAUUCAUUACAUCCUCCU
rnacentral:piRNA from 1 species